CAGGUCUGUUUAAUGAGCACACAAAAGCAACAGCACUCAUGCAGCAAAACAACUCCUCCUCAGAGGAAAACAAAAUGACAAUUAAAGACAGACAGAGUUUGAAAAUAUGACAGGCAUUAAGGGUUUAACUGGUGUUCUAAGAGUGGAGGGGGGGUGGGGGAUAAAACAUUCUAACUAAGUCCAUAAAACAGGGGUUUUCUUCACACUCUGCAUCCGAAGUGCAUAGCAAAACCUUUGUCAGAGCAUUUAAAGGGCCAGAACCAGUCUAAUAAAAUCCACUAUGCCCAAAUAACGUAUUUAAAGGGCAAAAUCUUCCAGGGGCCAUAGUCGCAGGGCAGGAGGCUGGUAAUUAGUCCUCUCCAGGCACAAGUGGCGAAGGGCAUUUUGUCACAAACACACAGGGCUCGACAAAUCUAAGGCGUCAGGUUGCCAUGGCGACUAGAUAUUUCGCCCUGGCACCUUGGAUUUGUCAG